UAUUAUUACUUUUACGGGGAUGUUUAACGAAUGUUGACUACGGCACGGUCGACCUAGGAUUACGCCUUUUUGGACAUAUGAUAUAAUUAACAGGUCAACCUAUAUCGACAAACAUCUUUUUUCUUUUACGUUUAUAAAUUUACGAUACACAAGAUAGAAGGUACAAAAAGAGAAGAUGGUUACUGAUAAAAGCGUUUGGACAUAUGUCAUAUAUGUAGUAAUAAUAACAGUCUGUUACUUUGCCCUCAUUGGGUUGAUUAUCGUGUUAAAGGAAUUAUGCGAUUGUAAUGAUACAACCGAAAUAAGAGAUAAUCGCAGGAAUAUAAAGAUGUCACCCAUAAAUAAUAUCGACCAACAGUAACAAAAUUGAAUAAGAAAGACUGACAGAGAAGAAAACUUUUGUUAAUAUAAGCUGAACAGUAUAAAAGGAAAACAAGUUGUUUCAUGUCUUAGUGUUGUGUUGCUUUGUAUGAUAAAUGUGUUUGUUUGUUUGUUUG